UACGGGGGGAGCAAGCGUUGUUCGGAAUUACUGGGCGUAAAGGGCGAGUAGGUGGCCAUCUAAGUCAGACGUGAAAUCCCCCGGCUUAACCUGGGAACUGCGUCUGAUACUGGACGGCUUGAGUAUGGGAGAGGAACGUAGAAUUCCAGGUGUAGCGGUGAAAUGCGUAGAUAUCUGGAGGAAUACCGGUGGCGAAGGCGGCGUUCUGGACCAUUACUGACACUGAGCCGCGAAAGCUAGGGGAGCAAACGGG
rnacentral:rRNA from 1 species